rnacentral:lncRNA from 1 species
UACGCUACAUGCACUACUCCGUGGAUUUUGUUUCUUUCUAUACAAAAUAUAAUCUGCUACACUUUCCCUCCGGGGUGUCGUGGAGACCUGAGCGUCUGAGGGUGGGAGGCGAGAGGGAGGGAGAGAGGAAGGGAGGGAGGUGGAAUUUCAUUUCUUCCACUAAAGCGUUUGCGGAGACUUCAAGAAAAGAAAAAGAAAAAAAUGUCAUUAGAAGAGGCGUAACACGUCAGUCCGUCCCCAGGUUUGUGUUUCCUGGAGUGGCCGAAAGAGAUCAGUUCUAACCUGCUCCGCAGGAAUAACGGUCCUGCCUCCCGACACUCUUGGCGAGGUUUUGUGCAGUUUACUCCGGGAGCUGUUUCUUCGCUUCCACCUUUUUCUCCCCCACACUUCGCGGCUUCUUCAUGCUUUUUCUUCUCACCAUUUCUGGCCAAAACUACAAACAAGACUUCGCAGGUAGGUUUUUUUCCCCUCCUUUUUUCCCCUCUUUUUAUCCUUUUUUUGGUGUGCUCGUCACCCAUCCUCCUUUCUAAUGCUCUCAUUUUGAGUGGGGAUGUGAGUGUGAAGUGAGAGGGGUGUCUGUGGGUAGGAAUUUCAGGUGGGUGAAGUCUUUUAUGGCGUGCUUUUCCCAAGAGUGGCUUCCUCGCUUUUUCUCUCACACUCUCGCUCAGUCUCCUUCCUUUUCUCUCCUUUUUGUCCCCCGCCCAAAAUAAUUUGCCCUGUACCUGUCCAUUCAGGUAACCAAAGGUGCCUUUUGCUACCCUGCCUAGGAAAAGUUUUUUUGGGGAACUGUAUGGCUGAAAUAAAAACUCGUCCAAGGGAAAGCUUCUGCUGUAU